CAGCCGCCACGGUAAUACGUAGGUGGCAAGCGUUGUCCGGAAUUAUUGGGCGUAAAGGGCUCGCAGGCGGUUUCUUAAGUCUGAUGUGAAAGCCCCCGGCUCAACCGGGGAGGGUCAUUGGAAACUGGGAAACUUGAGUGCAGAAGAGGAGAGUGGAAUUCCACGUGUAGCGGUGAAAUGCGUAGAGAUGUGGAGGAACACCAGUGGCGAAGGCGACUCUCUGGUCUGUAACUGACGCUGAGGAGCGGAAGCGUGGGGAGCGAACAGGAUUAGAUACCCCAGUAGUCCCUGUCUCUUAUAC
rnacentral:rRNA from 1 species